UACGUAGGGUGCGAGCGUUAAUCGGAAUUACUGGGCGUAAAGCGUGCGCAGGCGGUUUGCUAAGACAGAUGUGAAAUCCCCGGGCUUAACCUGGGAACUGCGUUUGUAACUGGCAAGCUAGAGUGUGGCAGAGGGGGGUAGAAUUCCAGGUGUAGCAGUGAAAUGCGUAGAUAUCUGGAGGAAUACCGAUGGCGAAGGCAGCCCCCUGGGUUAACACUGACGCUCAUGCACGAAAGCGUGGGGAGCAAACAGG
rnacentral:rRNA from 1 species